ensembl:lncRNA
GACAACGGCUGAACGAUGCAACAGUGUGUCUGUGCUCAACUCAGUCAACAACACGACAUGGAAGAAACCUAGUAGAAGCUGUGUUUGUGAUUUUACUUUGCAGAAAACAUGAGGAGAUCAAGAAGAGAGCCGAAUGCGGUGCUUGUGGGAUCAAAAAGCUCCCGGAAAUAUCUUGUCAGAAACAUCAUCCUGGGAAGACAGACGUUUGAUCCUUGAGAUGCAACAUCCCACUGUGAAAGAGGAGAGGGAGACUUAUGUGGGAGGAGGGUGUUGUUGGUCAAAGCUCCCAGGUGGCUGAGAGGAUAUCGACUCUGCGAUACACCUGAACUCUUCAAAACAGAGGCAAUCCUCAGCGUCACUCUGUGUCCACCUCCGCUGCAUGGUUUCAUCCUGGCAAUUAAUACCGAACUGCCUUUCAAAGACACGUACAGGAAGGCAACAAAGGAGCACUUGGAGCAUUUUUUGGGGAGAAGGUUUGGGAUCACACCAUAGUGGUCUUCAGCCACAGAGGCCAUCCAGUCCACAAAACCAUCGAAGAUCACAUCGAUUCAGAAGGGGCGCUGCUCCAAUCGCUUCUGGAGGCCUGCGGUAAAAGAUAUCACAGCCUCUGUGAUGAUGGCACCGACGACGAGGUAAAGUUCAAUAAGCUGUUUGAGAAGAUUGAUGCAAUGGUGGCAAAAAGCGGCUAUUACCAAAGUGACAGUAUGCUGGUGCAGAGUGUUGAGGAGGAAAGAAGUGGACAAAAAGGCAGAGGAGCUGCAUCUACAGGCUCAGCAGCAAAGGCGAAAACUCAGAGGUCUCCUGACAGUGAGUGAAAGUAUGACGUCCGAGAAAUCUGGAAAAGCGGAAGAAGAAGAAAUGGAGCAGCAACACGAAGUUGAUCCGUUUCUGAGCUCUUUGGAAGCAGCUACUGUAGAAGAUGCAGGAACCGACCACAUGAACCUCUGGAUGGGGCUGCUGGAGAGAGAGUGUAGCACACCAGCUGGAGACACUUCUACAGCGCUUCAUUUGAAGAUGAGAGAGCAGCCUCUGAACCAGACAGCGACGAGCUGCUGAAAUCGAGAGAAAAAGUGGCUUCGUGGCUGAAAUAAGAACCUGCUCAUCUGAGCAGCACUAGUUCAGGCUGUGAGACGCUAUCGAUCAGCAGGGAAGCAGAGCAGGAGUCGGCCUGGAUAAACUGAUUUAUUGCACUUCAUUCUGCCAGCAUGAUUGAGACAUCCGGGGUCUUAAUCAAUGGGAAAUAUCAUUUUAUUGACUACAAUCAAGAGGAAAAUAAUCAGCACUGAUGAGCUUGCAGCUGAUUAGGCUACACUGAUUAGAUUCUUCUGUCUGCUGAAACAAUACUAACACCUUCUUUUUUUAAUUGCAGAUUAUUCAUGCUGUAAUAAUUAUUAUAUCAAUGACAAAAAAGCAAAACUUCACUUGGAUGUCCUCCCGCAUUACCAAAAGAGCGCAGUUUCUUUCUCAGUUCAACCAAUUAAGGCUAUUUCUGGAUGAAAGCUUUUGAUAAUUCACAUCCUCAGCUGGAAAAAAUGUCAGUUUUGUUAUUUUGUGAUUUUAAACUCAAAUAUUUUUUUAAAAAAAAAAUAAACAUCAGCAAAAGAUGAUAAUGUGCUAUUAAUCUGACAAAAAGAACCACUCACUCACUUCUUUACACUGUUUACUCCUUUCCUUGUGAAUCUGUACAGCAGAGAUGUAUGCUAAGCUAGUGGAGAAUGUAUAUGCUGAAUACUAGAGGCUCCUGCCUGACCACAUGCACACAUUUUGUGGAGAGAAGUAGCAUGAACAACACACCAUUUCUGUUUAGAGAAAUGGUGUGUUGUUCAGAGAAAAAGUGUGCUUUCUAAAGUCCACCUGCCUGGUGAAAGUGAGCAGCCUGUAAAAAAAAAAAAAAAAGAAGUAAAUAAAGUUAACAGAAGUCCUCACCUGAGUUUCUUCCUUGCGGAGGCCAUCUUGUUUAGGAAGUUAAGAAGGGGGCACACCUCUAAAGGAGGUCUUUUAUUGGUUCACUGAGUAGGCGGGAUUUCAAAUAUGAUUGGGCUGGAGGUGCAUCCUGAUUGGUCAGUUUAAACUGAAGAGACAAGCCCCUUCUCUGUAUAUGUGAGUGUAAUAGAAGAAAAAAGGAAUAGUUUGUUCAUGAAAGCAGCAGUGUUGCUCCGCUAACUGUUGAAUGCAGUUUGUGAAAGUUUUCUUGUAAGUUUUUUUUUAAAUUCUCUUGCUAUUUCUGUUUGUUUUUCUUCCUUUUGGAGAUGUGCUGUGCCCAUUUGUCCUCCACAUACCUCCAAAGGCGACCUACAGCUCUCCUUGGAAAACAGUUACAACUCCUUUACAAGUAGAGACAUGAGAUGAGAUGAGAUGAGAUGAGAUGAGAUGAGAUGAGAUGAGAUGAGAUGAGAUGAGAUGAGAUGAGAUGAGAUGAGAUGAGAUGAGCAGUGCUACAGCAGCCAAAUACAUCUAGGAAAUGUGAUACAAAAUAAAACUAAACCAAAAUAUACAUAAGGACUCGUUAUAGAAGUAACUUUAUUGCACAUGUCAGUUGUAGUGCAUAGAUUCUUUCAUGAACAGAAAUACUGAGAGAAGUAUUAAUAUUGUAAAUAAGUAAAAAAAAUACCUGUGUAGCACAAGUUUGCACUGAAGUUGUGUCCAACCCUUUCACAUCAGCAGACCCCUCUGUGGACGUCCAGGUGCUAUAUAAGGUUUGUGUAACCCAGGUACAGUGGGACACUGCAAUAGUUUUGUUGGUCAUCAAGCAGAAAGCCUGCUCUUUAUUCGUUUUUUUCCUUGAGAUUUAGAAAAUCUUAAACGGACUUUGCAUUUUGAGCAAUUUGAACUGUUAUGCUUGUGAACUUGAAGCUUAAUGAAUUGUAUAAAUUAGAUACUUGUUAUUUUAAUUUUCAUUUUGUAAUCCUUUGUUUUAAUUGAUUGUAUUUGCUGUUUUCCUUGAUUUACAUCAAGUGUUUUGAUUUAAUACAGUUGGUUAGUUUCAGCAUCCUUUCUCUUCCUUUUGUAGGAAUUACAACUCGAGCUCCCCAGAGGAUGCAGCCAUCUCUUACACUGAGCUCCAUUUUCCUCUGGUGGAAUGCCUUAAGGUUUGGAUCAGUUACUGCAGGCCAUCCUUUGAGGAUGUAUUCAUGUACUUGUGAUAAUACAGAAUCUUUUGAGGUCCAGCUCUUUAUCUGCUUUGCACUUAUCAGUGUCUCAUCUAGUAUGUCCAUCAUUAGCACUUGCUCAGUCCUCUCCUCUUUCCUUAAUUUGACAGGGACUGGCAAUCUGCUCAACGCGUCUGCAUUUGCGUGAUGUUUGCCUGGUUUGUAGACAAUGUUGUACUGGUAUGCACUGAGUUUGACAGCCCACCUUUGUACUCUUGGUGAUCCCAUUUGAGGAAUUGGCUUCUUUUCAUUGAACAGAUAGAUCAAUGGCUUGUGAUCUGUGUAAAUUGUGAAGUUGCGACCGUACAAAUAUUUGUGAAGCUUCUCAAUUCCAAAUAUGACCGCAAGUCCUUCUUUGUCCAACUGAGAGUAUCUUGUCUCAGCAGAUUGCAAAGUACGAGAAACGAAUCCAACCGGUCUCUCACUUCCAUCUUCCAUGACGUGUGACACUACUGCACCUACUCCAUAAGGUGAAGCAUCGCAUGACAAAACUAACUCUCGGUCAGCUGAGUAGUGUACUAGAACAUCUGAUGUGUUUAGCAAGUCCUUGGCAUUUUGGAAUGCCUCUUCUUGUUCUUUAUUCCAUUUCCAGCGAACAUCAUGUCUUAACAGUUCGUGCAACAGUGCCAACCGGGUUGCCAAGUUAGGAAGGAACUUCUUGUAGUAGUUUAACAAUCCCAAGAAUGAUUUAAGCUCUGUUAUAUUUGCUGGUGCUGGCACAACUUGAAUUGCUCUGACUUUUUUAUCCACUGGGUGUAGUCCUUGUGCGUCGACUCUGUACCCCAGGUACUCCACUUCAUCCUGAAGAAAUGUGCAUUUGUUUCUCCUGAGACGUAAUCCAGUCUCUUUCAGUCUCUUUAGCACAAUGUCUAAGUUCUUGAUAUGAUCAGAUACAUCCACACCACUGACCAAAAUGUCAUCCAAAUACACUGCGACCAGGGGGAUGCCACUUAAAAGACUCUCCAUCGUUCUCUGAAAUAUGGCCGGAGCGGAGGCCACACCGAACGGUAGUCUGCUGUAGGUGAACAAACUUCUGUGCGUGUUUACUGUGAGGUAUUUCUUGGAGUCGUCAUCCAUGAGUAUUUGUUGAUAAGCGUGACUCAUAUCUAACUUCGAAAAUUGCUUACCCUUUGCAAGUGCAUUGAACAAAUCCUCUACUCUGGGUAUUGGACACUGCUCAACUGAUGACACUGUGUUUACAGUUAGUUUGUAAUCACCACAUAAUCUGACUGUGCCCACUGGUUUCAGGAUGGGUACUACUGGUGCUGCCCAUUCUGAAUACUUCACCGGUGUGAUGAUGUCCUCUUUCAGCAAUCUGUCAAUUUCCUCAUCCACUCUUGCUCUCAUGGCAUAAGGAAUCGACCUUGGACGGAAGAAGCGUGGAACAGCAUUUUCUUUCACAUGAAUAGUGGCUUUGGUGCCCUUUAAUGUGCCCAGCUCCUCCUUCAAAACUUCCUCAUGUAUGCACAGCACUUCCUGUAAUUUCUCAUUUGCCUCCUUCUCUGAGUACAUAUGGUGCACUUGACGAGCUUUGUAUCUGGCUUUUAUUUCUUUCCAAUCAAGUUGAAUGUCUUCCAUCCAACCUCGGCCCAGCAAGGAAGGACCCUCUCCUUUCACGACCACGAGGGGCAGUUUGGCUCUUUGCUUUUUGUACUUCACAUGGACAUGAGCUGCUCCAACAACUUUCACUGGAUCUCCUGUAUAGGUCUCCAACUUAAUCCCGACUUGUUUAAUGUGGGGAGUUUUCGUGUUUUUCCACAUUGUUUGAAAUGUCUUUUCAUUCAUUACGGUGAGACUGCAGCCUGUGUCAAUCUCAAAAUUAACUCUCUUCCCAUUCACUUUCAUGCUUUCCGUGUAUGGAUCCACUUUUCUUAGGUGUAUUUCACUCAUACGCCCUAGCUUAAACUUCAUACUUUGUAAUGCAAAAGUAUUUUCCUCUGAACUCUCAGAGUGGCUUUCUUCUGUUUGUUCUUUAACUUUAUGUGAACGAUAGCUUGAAUGAGACUUCUCAUUUUUCACAGUUCCUGAUUUUGCAUUUCCUUUGUUUGCCUUUAUUCUGACAAGCUCUAGCAAUAUGGCCAACUUUACCACAUGCAUGACAUUUUUCUUGUUUAAAUUUACAUUCUGCAGCAUUAUGUUGUCCUUUGCAACGAUAACACUCUUGAACACUGCUGCUCUUGAACGCGCUCCUCUGAUGCGUACCUUUGUGCAGCUUGAAGCACUUGGCUGUUGCACUUGGAUUCUGGAGGUCAUGUGCAUUUUUAUUUGCCGUUUCUGCCGCGACUGCAAUGGACAAGGCUUUUUCACACGUUAGAUCUGUCUCUACCAGAAGUCGUCUUUAAAUCCGGUCAUCAUUUAUUCCACAUACGAUCCUAUCUCUCAACUUCUGCUCCAGCGUGUUGCCAUAAUUACAGUCCUGUGCCAGCCUGCGCAGCUCUGCUACGUAUUCCAUCACUGAUUCAUUUGGCUUACGACUGCAAGAAUCAAACUUGUACCUCUGGACAAUUUCACUUGGUUUGGGGUCGAAGUGGUUUUUCAGCAACGUCACAAGUUGUUGGUAAGUCUUCUCUUUUGGUUUACUUGGGCUGAGGAGGUUCUGUAUUAAACUGUAUGUAGAUGCGCCGACCACACUGAGGAGUAUAGCUCUCUGCUUAUCCCCGUCAACAAUCUCAUUGGCCUCAAAAAACUGUUCCAUUAUUUCACAGUAUUCUUCCCAGCUUUGACUUUUAGCAUCAAACGCCGCUAGAGUGCCGAUGGUCGCCAUCUUCUCUUAAAUUUAUGGUAACUCUCCCCCCUUUUUGAAACUUUUCUCCAGCAAACCACGUCCUUACUGUGAAUCUUGUUUGUCCUCGUCGCCAAAAGAUGUUGCAUCGUGGCCAAAAUAACUUUGCACAACAUCUCAAGUUUAGUUCAGUUGUUUUUAUUGAAGCUCGUGCACAACCACCAAGCACAUAUCUUUUAGGUACCGCUUCUUCUGUGGUUCUCUCACAACAGUAACAUUCAGUAGGUAACAUUACGCUCGUGCGCCCUCUACUGGAGAAACCGUAUAACAACAAUGUAACAUUGUAAUAAUUACUGUCCACAGUAUACUUGUACAUUUAACUUGGAACAAGCCUUGGUAUAACAUUUAAAACAAUAAUAUUAAAUCUCAGUAUACCACACAUCAUAUGUGUCACGUUUGCGACCAGGCAGACGCUGCAAACACACUGACAAAUGGAAAACUAAUGGUGCUUGAAACCAUUUCUGAUGGGGAGAAGCUGUGUGAGGAGAUUCUCCGUCAACCACACCUUUGUAAUUCAUCAUUAAAAGAGCUGCAGUUGAAACAGUCACAUUCAGACUGUGGAGGCGGUUUUAUUUACCCAGACACUGGGGGAAGUUCUAAAUUCUCCAGAGAUCUCGUGGUAUGUCCACCCACUGUGCUCAUAUUCUAGUGGAAAGUAAUUGUUGCUAAAGUUAUCAAUUAACACAGUGCAAGAAAUACAGUAUUUACCUCUGGUAUGUAGUGGAUUAAAACAGGCAUACUUAGAAAGAAAAGCUUCUCAAAUAUGUACAUGAGUAAAUGUACUACAUUUUCUUGGGAGCGUCAGUAGAAAGCAACUGGACUACUCUUCUAGGUUUUUGAAGACGUUUCACCUUCAUCCCAGAAGCUCCUUCAGUUCUAAUUGACUGAUGGGGGUUUUAGAUAUUUAUAGUCAUUUCAGUUCACAUGGCUAAUGGCCCAUUAAUAACAUUAAGAACCUAAAGGAGAAGUCCAUUUGCUCUCUACUGAAGCUCAGCUGAGAAUCUACACAGACAUCUGUACUCCGUUUUCUGUCAUCUCUAAAAAAAAAUGUGUGGGUGCUUUCAGAUUCUGGUAUCUGACAAGAGGUCAUGCUUCACUUCACUGCUUCUUCACAUCUGUUUACCUUUUCUGGAGUCACAGAGAGCGAAUGGAGACGUAACAAGAUUAGUCGACCCUGAAGAGGUCUCUUUGCCUGUAAUAUUAUUAUAGAGAAGAACAAGAUGAUAUAAAAUUACAUUUUCAAGUGUGGGGAUUUUUACUUUUAUCUGCAAAAGGAUGCAACAUAUGGUAUUUUAAUAAAAGCAAUGGAAUAUCUCCACCACCUGCAAAGCUGAGAAUAUUGAAAUAAUACAUGUUAUUCCUUACAGUUAUGGACUGUCUUUGCUAGAGGCUACAACUUACAUACACUUUAUUUAAUUAUCAGAGAUAAAAAAAAAAAGGACACACGUUUGCUCCUCUGGUUCGUGUUUUGACAAGACAUCUACCUGUUAUCUGCAGAUUUGACAACGUUAGCUACAAAGACACACUGCAAGAACCAGAUCAGCCUGAAGUAGAAGGAGGAUCCUCGUAUUGCUGUGGGGUUUUCUUUCAUAACGCUAGCCAAGAAUGCAAAUUGAUGUCUUUGUUUUCAGUCUCUCUCACUUGUAGACAUGACCAGAGGAGCUAAACUGGACCCAGGAUUCACCUGGAGGCAGCAUAGACCUACGAACUGGAGCAGGUGGAAGCUGAAUUAGUGAGGAUGACUCCUGCUCCUGUCAUCUCUAAGCUCCUCACACAUCUUUACCUGCACAUGAGGAAAAUCACUCCUGUAGAAUGCAGAUGUUCAGAGGCAGAUGAUGCCACAUCUGGUCCAGCUGAUGGAAGGUCUUGAAGUUCUCUGACUGGCCUGGACUGAAGAUGGUCGUCUCACUGGAUUUAAGGUUCAGAUGCUGUUAUUUGUUUAGUCCAGACUAAAUGACAAAAAUCCACAACUGUAAUUAGUUUUUUUCCCUGUUAAAAGGGUGUUUUCCUGCCACUGUCACCUUAGGGCUGCUCUGGGGUUCAGGCAUAUGGGUUCUGUAAAGCGUCUCGAGACAAUUUUACUGUAAUUGGUGCUGUAUAAAUAAAAUUAAAUUGAAAAAUUUGAAUUGAAUUAAUUUUAUUUCAGGACUCGGUUAUUAAAUGUCAAAACAAUCCAUGUGACUCUAAAAACUCAACAGCUUUACAAACUCUAAGAUUAAACUCUCCACAAGGAUCCAAAAUAAGUUGGACUUCUACAUGAGAGCUUUAAUUAUUCUUC